CGUAAACAAAGGGAAGCGACCCUGUGAAGGCAAGCAAAUCCCAAAAAUAACGUCUCAGUUCGGAUUGUAGUCUGCAACCCGACUACAUGAAGCUGGAAUCGCUAGUAAUCGCGGAUCAGCAUGCCGCGGUGAAUACGUUCCCGGGUCUUGUACACACCGCCCGUCACACCAUGGGAGUCGAUAACGCCCGAAGUCUGUGACCCAACCGAAAGGAGGGAGCAGCCGAAGGCGGGAUUGGUAACUGGGGUGAAGUCGUAACAAGGUACC
rnacentral:rRNA from 1 species